rnacentral:rRNA from 1 species
UGGUGGAGUGAUUUGUCUGCUUAAUUGCGAUAACGAACGAGACCUUAACCUGCUAAAUAGCCAGGCCCGCUUUUGCGGGUCGCCGGCUUCUUAGAGGGACUAUCGGAUUUCAAGUCGAUGGAAGUUUGAGGCAAUAACA